GAGAAGGUUCCAGCAUUCUGCAGAGAUCGAAUUCUCCCAACAAUGGCGUCGAAGGUUUCUCUUAGAAGCAAGGGCAAGAGCUCCAAGGGUUCAUCGAAGUCAUCUGAGGAGAAAUCCGCAACCCAAGCCUUCAAGGAGUGGACUACUUGGGCCGUAAAGAAAGCCAAGGUCAUCACCCACUAUGGCUUUAUUCCUCUGGUUAUCAUAAUUGGCAUGAACUCUGAGCCUAAGCCUCAGCUCUCUCAACUUCUCAGCCCCGUCUGAUCUGAUUGCUUUCUAUACGUUCGUUUCCAAGAUUUAGCGCUUUUCAUGAUGGAUCGGUGCCUUUUUUUGUGGAUUCACAACUUGGGUUUCUGUUUUAUAUGGAUGUUUUUUUGGGGCUAGAUAGCGUAUAAAUUUUAGGUCAGUUCGGGUACUAUAAUACUGCCCUGCUUGUGUUUGGCAUGCUUGAACUAUAGACAUGUAAUAAUUU
rnacentral:misc_RNA from 1 species